rnacentral:lncRNA from 1 species
UCAAAGGGCACGUGCACACAAGCAAGCACAGAUUAUCGAAACACGGUUAGGCCGCUCAAAACACACAUUAUGCGCACAUGUGCUCUCUCAAGCUGUUGCUGGGGGACCUGUGUGUCUGGGAUCUAAGCACCCUAAGCGCCAGGGCCGUGCUUUGGGAGACGUGGGGAGAGAAGCCCCACGGCCACCCAGAAUGCUGAGUGGAGUGUGGUGAUGCCGCCAUAAUGCCCACACCAAUCCUGCUACUAUCACUGCUACUACCAUUGCCAUUGCCACUGCUACUGCCACUCCCCCGCCGCCUCCGCUAGGUAUUCCAUGGUCUCCGAGACCCCCAGCGCCUGUUCGCGCUGGGCCCCCUGGCUGAGGAGCUGCUGCCGCUGCUGCUGGUGGGCCGUGACGGGUCCUUGGCGGGCGCCGG